rnacentral:rRNA from 1 species
GACGAACGCUGGCGGCGUGCUUAACACAUGCAAGUCGAACGGAAAGGCCCAGCUUGCUGGGUGCUCGAGUGGCGAACGGGUGAGUAACACGUGGGUGAUCUGCCCCUAACUUCGGGAUAAGCUUGGGAAACUGGGUCUAAUACCGGAUAGGACAAUCGUUUAGUGUCGGUUGUGGAAAGUUUUUUCGGUUAGGGAUGAGCCCGCGGCCUAUCAGCUUGUUGGUGGGGUAAUGGCCUACCAAGGCGUCGACGGGUAGCCGGCCUGAGAGGGUGGACGGCCACAUUGGGACUGAGAUACGGCCCAGACUCCUACGGGAGGCAGCAGUGGGGAAUAUUGCACAAUGGGCGUAAGCCUGAUGCAGCGACGCCGCGUGGGGGAUGACGGCCUUCGGGUUGUAAACCUCUUUCGACAGGGACGAAGCUUUGGUGACGGUACCUGUAUAAGAAGCACCGGCUAACUACGUG